AGAUGUAGAUAUGAACGUUGAAGGCGAAACGGAAACGAAGGGUAUUUUGUUGUAACGAGAGUAUUUAAGAACGCGUAAAUAUCACAACUACAUUGAAGUUUCUCAAGCUCUGUUGAAGUUAUCUUGUUGAAAAUCGGUUGGAAUCUUAAUGGAAAUCGUUGACUAUUCGCUAUUUGUUGAGGAAAAACUUGUACGGGUAAGAGUUUAAUAUCAUUUCCUUUUAUUCACGAACUAAUUUCUUUUCUCUAGCUACGCUAAAGUCUGUUUAUUGGAGACUCUUCCCAAUACUGUUGCAAAGACUUUACGUUGUUUGAAAUAAAGCUACGCUAAAGUCUGUGUAUUGGAAGGACUAUACGUUGUUUGAAAUAAAGAUGAUCACACGGUAUAGAAAACGAUUAAUGGAUCAUUUGAAAGAGUAUUUGCAUCAUACUGAUGAAAUAUCAUACUGGGUUUUUAUUAUAAAAUGUUAUUGUAAAGACGUAUAUCAAUUACCCACAAAAUUUUUAAUGUGGGUGAAAAAACAAUUUAUUAUAAAAGUUAGACAAUAUGAAAAGAACUUUUAUGAUAUUAAAGAUCUUGAUAAAGUUUUAAAUAUUUUUAUUUGCAUAAUCCAAAGAAUCAGGGUACGGCUUUUAAAAAAGUACAAUAGAUUUUUAUGCUAGGAAAAAUUAUGGUUUAUUUCGAAAAAAAAGUGUUAUGAGCUUAUUUAAAGAACUCUGCGAAAGUAAAUUUCAGAACUGUCAAAAGUGCAAUUAUUGUGUAAGGUUCAAGUUAGCCUUAGCAAAAUUAAUACUGGAUUAUAUUGAAGCUGAUUUUUUUCAUUUUAUUCGUGGAAAGAUACAAAGAAAGGAUUAUUUUCGAAUUAAAGACAAAUUUCUAUUAAAAAUAUUGCAAAAAGGAAAUAUGGAUUGUACUUUAUUAAACACCACCGGAUUGUUGGAUAAAGUUUAUAUGCAUUUAAAAAAAGAUGAUAAUAUUAAAGAAGAAGAAUAUAACAAUGAUAUUGAAGAAGAAGAAUAUGACAACGAUAUAAUUGAUUUUAAUAAAAAGAAAGGUCAGAAAGGAAAAUUAAUAUCUGACAAAAAAGCUAUGAAGCGAGUUAACAAAAUUAAUGAUACUUUUUUUUAUUAGUAAUUUUUUUUGAAAUUGAAUAAUGGAAAGACAUUAUAUCAAAAGUCAUGUGCUGUUAUAGAUCAUAAUGGAUAUACUUUUUGUCGUGUAGGACAUUUUGGCGGACAUACUUGUAAUUUUUAUUAUAAUCAAUGUAUACCCAAAGUUGAUAUUAACUCUAACUAUACAAUGUAUAUAAAUAUAUAUGCUAUUAAAAAUCAAUUGUUUCAUUUUUAAA